rnacentral:rRNA from 1 species
UUCCAGACUCCUACGGGAGGCAGCAGUGGGGGAUAUUGCACAAUGGGGGAAACCCUGAUGCAGCGACGCCGCGUGGGCGAAGAAGUAUUUCGGUAUGUAAAGCCCUAUCAGCAGGGAAGAAGAAGUGACGGUACCUGAGUAAGAAGCACCAGCUAAAUACGUGCCAGCAGCCGCGGUAAUACGUAGGUGGCAAGCGUUGUCCGGAUUUACUGGGUGUAAAGGGCGUGCAGCCGGAGAGACAAGUCAGAUGUGAAAUCCGCAGGCUCAACCUGCGAACUGCAUUUGAAACUGUUUCCCUUGAGUAUCGGAGAGGUCAUCGGAAUUCCUAGUGUAGCGGUGAAAUGCGUAGAUAUUAGGAAGAACACCAGUGGCGAAGGCGGAUGACUGGACGACAACUGACGGUGAGGCGCGAAAGCGUGGGGAGCAAACAGGAUUAGAUACCCGCGUAC